rnacentral:misc_RNA from 1 species
GAAGUCGUUACUUCAACCCUUCGGGAGGAGGACGUCGAAAGUGGGGCUGAUGACUGGGGUGAAGUCGUAACAAGGUAUCCGUACCGGAAGGUGCGGAUGGAUCACCUCCUAACAGGGAGACAAACAACGAUUUUGAUGCCUGAGUAGUUUUAUUCUUAGGCCGAAAUCCUGUCACCUUAGGUCGAUCGGUACCUCAGCGUUGAAGUAACAGAGUCAAUAGAGAUGUUGAUGCGUGUUGUGGAGAUGAUCAGUUCCUAAACUUUGUCUAGGUCACACCCCACAAGGGUUGAGUUUUCCUGGGCCAUUAGCUCAGGUGGUUAGAGCGCACCCCUGAUAAGGGUGAGGUCCCUGGUUCAAGUCCAGGAUGGCUCAUUCGGUGUUGGGGGUUUAGCUCAGUUGGUAGAGCGCCUGCUUUGCAAGCAGGAUGUCAGGAGUUCGAGUCUCCUAACCUCCACUGACCGAACUCAACCUCCGGUUUUGCAUUGAAAGAUGGAGAGCCACUCGAUUGUGAUGUGUGAUUUAGAUGUGUCCGCUGGAUGACCCCAGCUUCCUGUCAUUCCAAAUCAGGGUAAAGGUUUUUACUCGAAUAAAUUUGGUUGAUAAGAUGCUGGGCUCGAAUUCAAAUGAUCAAGCAGUUGGUCGUUUGGGUUUGAAGUCUGGCAGAACCUUGACAACUGCAAAGGUGAGUCUGGAAAAAACAGAGCAUCUUACAGAUGCAUUGUUUUGAAUCUGAUCUUCCGAAAGGGAGAUUGGAUCUAGAACAAUGAAAAUUCUUUUGAGCAAGAGCCGAGACUCUUGAGCGUUCUUUGAUUCGUGUCGAGCGAAUCAGAGUUUGAUCUUGUUUUAGGAAUCAGCGAAAGUUGAUGAUUAAACCUUGAGAAUCUGCUUUCAACGGCGGUAAGCGUUCAGGAGAUUAAUUGGUCAAGCUACAAAGGGCUCACGGUGGAUACCUUGGCACACAGAGGCGAUGAA